AGCAAUAACAAAUAACCCCAACCAGCAAUACGGAGCAGUAGCGCCUGUAGCUUCCUUCACCUCGGGCAGCAAAACAGAGAAAAAAACAGAGCAACACACUUCUUCUCUCCUAACAGGUAGCAGACAGCAGCAGCCAGCCUUCUCCCUGUCUUUUUCCAGAACAAAAGCCACGCACUAGGCUCUUUUUCUUCCAGAACACAAACUCCACCCGGAACUAGGCUGAGCAACCAACCUCACGCAGCAGCAGUACCACCGUGAGCGUCGCCUCCUCGCGCGUCCGUACGCGAGCACGCCGCCUCCUCCCACGUCCGCACGCGAGCGCAGCACGCCCGCACAGUGUUCUUCCUCGCGCACCGCUUCGCAGGCCGUUCGCUGGCCUUCACGCGCCGCCCCGCAGGCCGCUCCCGGCCUUCGCGUGCCGUCCUGCGCAGGCUCGCGUGCCGCCCUGCGCAGGCCCGCUCCCACGUGGACCGCACCUCCCGUGCGUGCACAGGCCCGCGCGACCUGCGCCCUCCAGCUCGCCGCGCAGAAGGCUCAGGCGACCGCGCCGCCCCGGCCGCUACGCGAAACCCUAACACCAGCACCGGCUCCGAAUACCAUGUUGUAAUUUUGGGGAAGCUCUGUCUGGUAGUCUCCAGAACAGAGGGGCUCUCUAUUUCUUCCUCUUACAUUUACAUAUAGGACCCUUUACAAUUUAUUAUUUACACCAACA
rnacentral:lncRNA from 1 species